rnacentral:rRNA from 1 species
CGACGACUCUCGGCAACGGAUAUCUCGGCUCUCGCAUCGAUGAAGAACGUAGCGAAAUGCGAUACCUGGUGUGAAUUGCAGAAUCCCGCGAACCAUCGAGUCUUUGAACGCAAGUUGCGCCCGAGGCCACCCGGCCGAGGGCACGCCUGCCUGGGCGUCACGC